UACCUAGUUAAGCUUGUUGAGUGUGGAGGGUCAAGGGAUGUUGCUACAGGCUGAAUAUUUUUGUUCCCUCAGAAUUCAUCUGUUGAAACCUAAUCCCCAAUGUGAUGGUAUUCACAGCUGGAGCUUGUAGGAGGUGGUUAGGUUAUGAGGGUGGAGCCCUCAGGAUUGGGAUUAGCGACCUUCAAAGGAGACAGUAGCAUGCUCCUUCCACCAUGUGAAGAAACAGUGGGAAGAUAGCCAGCCAUCUUUGAACCAGGAAGAAGGAUCUCAUCAGAUACCCAGGCUGCCAUCGCCGUUAUCUUGGACUGCCCAGCCUCUGGAACUGUGAGAACUCAAUGUUUGCUGUUUAAGUUACCCAGGACCCUCUAAGGCAAUGCUUCUCCAAGGGAGGCACCAAGAGCAUCUGCAUCAGAAUCCUCUGAGGCACAUGCCUUGACUAUAAUGCCAUGCUCAGGAUGUAAAAGAGGCAUACUCCAAAGGGCAGCAUUUUAAGUAAAAGCAUCAAAUCAUAACCAAACGACUUCCAGAGAAAUCAGCCAAGAGACUGCAGCAAGAGUCAGAGAAAGCCUUCAAACCCCUAAGUGUUUUCAAAAAACUUCCCAAACAGCACUUUUGUGGGAGGGGCAUGCUCUAAGUGACAUUGUUUCACACCCAAUUUGUUGUGCAUAGUUUAUCCUGCCUUGCAUGCCAAUUGGAUUGCAGAAAUGCUUUGUAUGCAGCCUGGGAAAGGUAUAAAGGACGUAAGUAAUGCAGGCUUGACUGUACUAUAUGGUAAUCGGAGCUUUGCACCUCACACAGGCCUCAUCACGGAUGUCACGUUUUCUAAAAUCUUGCCCUUUAGAAUAGACCUCCUAUUCUUUUUAGAGUUGGCAUGGACAUGUACUUUAUCAUUCUCAGAUAUGAAAUAUGUGGUUUCAAAGAGCAGUAGAUUCAGAAAAAGGAGAAUUUUUAAAAAAUUCAAUUGCAAAUGGAGGACAAAUUGGUGACCUAGAAGGCUUGUGAUCAUGGUACAGGUCCUAACUAUUGAAUAUUUUUCAGUUCCCACUUGUAAUGAUGUCACCAGGAAAUUAGCAUGUUGUAUAAGUUUGUGGCAUAUUCGCAUUUAAGUUAAAUGGUAACAGGUAAUCUAUCCAGGUUUUGCCUUAACUAAAAUCACUAGGUAAGUUCUAGUACUUUUAUUGAGUCGUGUUUCAUUGCUCAUUGUAUAAAAGCACAUAAAAUUUUUGAGAGAUAGGUGUUUGCUUAUUUCGCUCAAUGCUCUUUACUGCCAUUUUCCCAGUAUCUGGUAGAAUGUUGAAUAGUGGAGAGAGUAGAAAUAUUUUCCUUGUUUUCUGUCUUUGGGUAACAGCUUUCAAUGCUUCACACUUACGUAUAAAACUACCCUUAGCUUUCUCACAGAUAGCCUUCAUCCACUCAAGGACUUUUUCUUCUAUUAUUAGUUUAAUGAGAAUUGUUUUCAUGCAUAGAUGUUGAAUUAUUUCAAAUACUUUUACUGUUUCUGUUGAAAGGAUCAUAUGGCUUUUCUGCCUUAUUCUACUCAUAUGAAAGUGAUGUUGACUGGUUUUCAAUUGAUGGACGAACCUUGUAUGGCUGGAAUAAGCCCCACCUGGUCAUGAUGUAUUAUUCUCUGCACAAAUUGCUGGAUUCAUUUGCUAUGUUGUUAAAGAUUUUGUGUAUAUGUUCAUGAGGGAUAUUGAGCUUAAAAAGAACCUGGAAUGGUGAAUCUGCUUUGAUGUUUCUAUCCAUGAAGAAUAUUUGAUGGAGUAUAAUAUUUCUGCCUUGAGAUUUUGCAGCAUCUCCCAGAUCUGUGUGGAAUUUGUUCAGAUUAAAGCUCCCGGCUGUCCUUCUUGGUCCUGCCUUGUGAGUUUCUCCUUGUGAAUGCACAGAUUAGCCCUGAGCUAACUACUGCCAGUCCUCCUAUUUUUUGCUGAGGAAGCCUGGCCCUGAGCUAGCAUCCGUGCCUACCUUCCUCUACUUUAUACGUGGGACACCUACCACAGCAUGGCAUGCCAAGCGGUGCCAUGUCCUCACUUGGGAUCCGAACCUACGAACCCCAGGCCACCGAGAAGCGGAACAUGUUUAUUUGGAUUCCCAUUUUUAUUCGGGUUUCUAGUGGUUACUGUAGAAAUCCCAGCAUGCUCCUCUAAGUCUUCUGCGGCCCUGGGAAGUGGUCUGCAUCCACCUCUGAGGCUCUCCUUUCACAGAUCAGACCUUCAUAAAUACAAAGAGUCAUUCUCAAGAAUGUGAACAAUGACUUUAUUUGUGAAAAUGAAUAACACUGAAAUCUUAUUUAUUGAUUCAGAAGAGGACUUAAGAUAUAUCAUUCUGGACCCCUUAUAUUCAGAUCCUCAUUUAGUGAGAACUGCCAAAAUUCAUCUAAUCAGUUUUCACAGCAACAUUUAAGAAAUACAAUAUGCUUAUAACUUUACAAAGAGAGGAAUUUCAGAAAGUACAAUUUUGAAUUCCAUCAUUACUACUGCAAUCAUAUUCUCAAGGUAUGAGGCAAAAUAAUGUGGAACUGCUAGUUACAUGUAAGUAUAUUUGACAUUUUCAGCAGUCCUCCUCCAAAAGAAAAGAAAAAGAGAGAAUGAAGAAUCAGAAAAUGACGGUUUGUACCAGAAUAGAAACACUACUAUCUGAGAAAAAAAAAUGCAUCUGGUUCCACAUAGUUGAAUGAAAUUUCUUCUAUUCAAACAGCGCAGUGCUUCAAACUCCAGACCCCUCUUGUCUCUACCACCUGGCAUAAUGAUUAUUCCCGGAUAAAUCUGAAUCAGCAAAGUGUAAAAUGUGGAGACUUCGUUUUAGAACAAUGCCAUGAAAAAAUCGGAAGCAUCUUAAUAGGAAGCUUAACGUGCCAAGUAUUAUCAUGUUGAUUUCCUGACCUGAUUUUCCAUCUCUGAUAUGAAGAGUCGCUCCUUGGUUCACUGGUGCUGUGCCUGAUUCGGUCUUCCGCUGAGUCUUUGCUACCAAAAGUGAAAGUAGUUAAGAUAGUUUAAUAAGUGCCGUUAUAAUGAACCAGCGGUCUCCAAGCCCUGUGCUUUAAAAAUCCAAUAAGCUGACUUUGCACUAUUUAACUCUGUUAAUUAGAGUAAGCGCCACCUGAAGGAAAUGAGACGUGGAGGACGGAUGUAACUGUAGCUUUGUGUUUUUUCCUUCUCCCAUUUCUACCCCGACCUAUGUGAAGGGGAGAGAGGCCAUAAUUGUAAUAAGGAUCCAGGCCACUUAAUAAAUGUUUAAUUGCAUUCAGAUCUGUUCACUUAGCUUACGAGUUAUUGUCAGCCCGUUAAUGGACCGUUAAUUAAAAAGCAUAUUCAAUGAGGUGAGGAUCAUUUUCAUGUGGAAGGUUUCUACCUGCCUUUGGAGUCCUGAUGGACAGUCUCUGCUAAUUAGCAUCAUUUCACAGAAGACCAAACCUUUGUGCCAUUUAAUAAAAUAUAGCUCAUGACAGCAGCAUAACGUAUGAAGGAACGAUAGCUAGGGUUAAGGACCAAAUUUGGCAGUGUGGCUGCAAAUUAAGAAAGAAUGAAGGUACAUAAGAAAGCUUUAAAGCUAUAAGUAAAAGGGGAAGUGUGCAAGCUCUAAAAAAUUUUUUGUAUUUUUUAAUAUAUUUUAUAGAAAAUGUGUCUGUUAAUACUCGGUCAGUUUUUGCCUUUGAUUCGUAGAACAAUUCCUCUUCCUUCGCAUUCAUUUCCCAGGACACUGUAUUUUACUACAUUUGUGAUUUCAAAAAUUCAACAUAAAAGCUGCUUUCUAGAUAUUUUUUAAGUUUAUGAUAUUAAAGAAUAAUAUAUUUCAAUAAAUUUUAUAAUAUAUUUUGCAUGCCUACUAAGGGAAAGUCACUGUUUUGGGGAAUAAAUUUUAGUUUUAAUUUCUUUCGUGAAUUGUGCAGAUGCUGUUGUAGAAAUAGGACAAGGUCCUCUAUCUUGUGGUGAUUUACACUUGAUAUUUUGGAAAAUAUACUCUUCAUACAGGUGCACUAAAUUAAUAGCACAUUUAACAACUCAAUUUUUUUUUUAAAGAUUUUAUUUUUUCCUUUUUCUCCCCAAAGCC
rnacentral:lncRNA from 1 species